rnacentral:rRNA from 1 species
AUUGAACGCUGGCGGCAGGCCUAACACAUGCAAGUCGAACGAGUGGCGGACGGGUGAGUAAUGUCUGGGAAACUGCCAGAUGGAGGGGGAUAAAUACUGGAAACGGUAGCUAAUACCGCAUACCAUCGGAUGUGCCCAGAUGGGAUUAGCUAGUAGGGGGGGUAAAGGCGCAACUAGGCGACGAUCCCUAGCUGGUCUGAGAGGAUGACCGGCCACCCGUGAACUGAGCCAGGGGCCAGACGCCUACGGGAGGCAGCAGUGGGGAAUAUUGCACAAUGGGCGCAAUCCUGAUGCAGCCAGGCCGCGUGUAUGAAGAAGGCCUUCGGGUUGUAAAGUACUUUCAGCGGGGAGGCGUUAACCGCAGAAGAAGCACCGGCUAACUCCGUGCCAGCAGCCGCGGUAAGUC